UACAGAGACCUCAAGCGUUAUCCGGAAUCAUUGGGCGUAAAGCGUACCGACAGGUGGUUUAGAAAGUCAGAAGUGAAAUCUCAAGGCUCAACUUUGAGACUGUCUUUUGAAACUUCUAAACUAGAGGGGCAAAGAGGAAGCUGGAACGAACGGUGUAGUAGUGAAAUGCGUUGAUAUCGUUCGGAACACCGAUAGCGAAGGCAGGCUUCUGGGUGCCACCUGACACUGCUAGGACGAAAGCGUGGGGAGCGAAUGGG
rnacentral:rRNA from 1 species